CGUCCUUCUGUCUCAACUAAUCACCGCUUCUAGCUGGUCUGAGUGUGCAUCGUGGAGCUGGUGGGCACUGGCACCUCGUCACCUGCUGUAACUGAGAGAGAAGGCGUCUCCUCUUCCAAGAUCCAUUUGCAAGCCAAGUCACGUUUUUUCUACCAACCGUUCACUUCAGCGCCGUGCGUUGUCGGUACGUGAGAUGAGGGCAGAGUGGUGGGGAACAGGGAUGGCCCACCUCGAGAUCCCAUCCCAGCAGCUUGCUGGGCUUGUUCAGCUUCAAAGGCAUGCCUUGCUCGGUGAGACGUUAACCACCGGCACUGGGCAAGCCUCAAAACUCCACGAGAAACUUGGCCGCAUCUCCCGGGCUUUGAUGUAAAUUAUCUGGGGUGAUCACACAGCCUGCCCAGAAAUUCAGAUGGUUUCCACACCUCAGUCAUUACUACUAGAACAAGUCCUUGGAGUUCCCCUGGAACUUCAUAGAAAUAUCACCUUUUGGCAGAGGAGGAAAGAAAAUAAAAAAGGACUUUGCUGGUGGUGAACAUUGCCCUAGCAAUUUUAAAUCAACCACGUGUCGUUUGCACAAAGCUUUUCAUCCUCGUUUUGCUUUGUGAUAUGCAAAUCUUAGCCUAUUCAUUUGUCAGUGAUGUCAGCAGAAGACAGAAAGGUAUAAGAGUAUAUAUAAGAAAUGGCGAAUUAAUAUUGUGGGAGUCACUGAUACAGUGGGAGUCGCUAUCUCUUUGUGAAGUCUCUGACUCCAGGGUGUUUAAUCUCCUGAUCUUGAUACACACUUGUAAGUGUAUUGUGUAUGCACGCAAUGUUUGCUGUCCUGGAACGGUUUUUAUAACCCGGUUGCUUUUUCCCAGCAUUGUAGUGCAUGCAGUUUAGAAACUUGAGAUUUUGAAUAAUGCCAUAAAACUAACUUCUUAUGGCGCUCUCCCUCUCCAGCACAACUUCAAGCUCUACUCUUAAUUAAUUACCUGGGUUUCCAGCUCCUCUUUUUAGAGGACAGUCACUAAAUUGAGUGAAGUGGAUUAAAUUACUGGUGCAGGUGAAGGACAAGGCAAAUCAUGGUUUCUUGCCUGAAAAGCAUGACUGCCUGAAGUGAUGACUGUAUAUUCCGAAGCAUGUUAAAGUGUCAGCUGUCUAAACGUCUCCGGUGGUAGUAUCAUAAAAGAUUUCUGGUUUCUUUCAUACGCAGGCUGCCUGGAAGUUGGGCUGAGAUCCGUCAGGACGAUAUUGGCACUAAACCUUCCUCUAAUUUUUAAAGAAUCCGUGAAUGUGAGGGUAAGAAAAAAAGUUGGGUUAAAUCUCCGCUCUCU